rnacentral:ncRNA from 1 species
CAGGAAGCCGGUGGAAAUCCGGCGCGGUCCCGCCACUGUGAGCGCGGUGGCUGCCAGAAACGGCAGCGGCCGAGCGAGCCAGGAACUG